UACGUAGGGAGCAAGCGUUGUCCGGAAUCAUUGGGCGUAAAGCGCGCGUAGGUGGCUUCGUAAGUCCGUUGUGAAAGUCAAAGGCUCAACCUUUGAAAGCCGAUGGAUACUGUGAAGCUAGAGUACGGAAGAGGCGAGUGGAAUUCCUGGUGUAGCGGUGAAAUGCGCAGAGUAUCAGGAGGAACACCCGGUGGCGGAAGGCGGAUCUCUGGGCCUUACCUGACGCUCAGGCGCGAAAGCUAGGGGAGCGAACAGG
rnacentral:rRNA from 1 species